AUUGAACGCUGGCGGCAUGCCUUACACAUGCAAGUCGAACGGUAACAGGUCUUCGGAUGCUGACGAGUGGCGAACGGGUGAGUAAUACAUCGGAACGUGCCCGAUCGUGGGGGAUAACGGAGCGAAAGCUUUGCUAAUACCGCAUACGAUCUACGGAUGAAAGCAGGGGACCGCAAGGCCUUGCGCGGACGGAGCGGCCGAUGGCAGAUUAGGUAGUUGGUGGGAUAAAAGCUUACCAAGCCGACGAUCUGUAGCUGGUCUGAGAGGACGACCAGCCACACUGGGACUGAGACACUGCCCAGACUCCUACGGGAGGCAGCAGUGGGGAAUUUUGGACAAUGGGCGAAAGCCUGAUCCAGCCAUGCCGCGUGCAGGAUGAAGGCCUUCGGGUUGUAAACUGCUUUUGUACGGAACGAAAAGACUCUUUCUAAUAAAGAGGGUCCAUGACGGUACCGUAAGAAUAAGCACCGGCUAACUACGUG
rnacentral:rRNA from 1 species